UACGUAGGGGGCAAGCGUUGUCCGGAUUUAUUGGGCGUAAAGAGCGUGUAGGCGGCCCGGUAAGUCCGCUGUGAAAGUCGGGGGCUCAACCCUCGAAUGCCGGUGGAUACUGUCGGGCUAGAGUGCGGAAGAGGCGAGUGGAAUUCCUGGUGUAGCGGUGAAAUGCGUAGAUAUCGGGAGGAACACCUGUGGCGAAAGCGGCGCACUGGACCACAACUGACGCUGAGGCGCGAAAGCUAGGGGAGCAAACAGG
rnacentral:rRNA from 1 species